rnacentral:misc_RNA from 1 species
UAUCAAUACGUGCAAAUAUACGAUAUAUCGGUCUUAAUGUUUAUGUGUAGGGCUUUGCAAUGUUGUGUUAUUUUCGGAAUUAAAUAUUAGGAUUUAAAGUAGAAUGCACCAAAAGACGGCCGUCAAAACUUACAUAAUUCCAUUGGUAGUCUAUACAUAUAGGUGCACGUUUCUUCAGUCCGCAGAUGGGAAUGAUGACUGGCAUUUUUACGGUGAAAAUAUAGCGUUCCAUAAAACUGCAAAUCAACUGCCUGAAACGUUUUUUGAUCAUUUAACUUCUGCUUACUCUGUGGCUUUUGACAAGUAUUAUCCCGCUAGUUUGGCCGUUGACGGAAAUACAGAUAGUUAUUUUAAACACGAGAGCUGUAGUCACACAACAGGGAAGUCAAUCGUUGAUGCAUCAUGGACGGUGGACCUUGGCAAGCCAUUUAACAUCACAGGAAUUGUUAUGUACAACAGAGACGACGUAAAAAUUCGAUUAAAGAAUUUCCAGAUAUAUGGCGAUGACACCACAUUGAUUCACAACAGUGCUGGCACUGACGAAUAUAAUGAAAAGAUACUUACUUUUAAACUUGAUGGGUUGCGUACCUUUUCUACUAUAACAAUACUACUUCCAAAACAAUAUGGUCAUUCAGACGGAGGGAAUUAUUAUUUAACACUAUGUGAAGUUCAAAUUUAUGCAGCUCCACGACCUGCUUGCGAUGUAAGCCUAACAGACGUUACAAACGGUGAAGCACAGAUAUUCAAUUACACUGGCAGACUAAUUAAUCAUAAAUAUACUGUUGGUACAAUCAUUGAAGUACAUUGCAAGGAAAAUUCCAUCCCGAUGUAUUAACACGUUUCGAGUGCCUUGCUUCAGGCAAAUAUAACUGUACAGUUCCAAAAUGUCUAGAUUCUUUUUGCAUAAUACCAAACAUUACGAAUGGCAAAUUUUUAAAUGUACUGUCAACAAAGUUUGACGUGGGAACAACGCUUCAAUUUAUUUGCGACAAGGGAUUUACAGCAGCAGCCUCGGAAGACACUAUAUCCUGUGAAAAAAACU